rnacentral:rRNA from 1 species
UGGGGAAUAUUGGACAAUGGGGGAAACCCUGAUCCAGCCAUGCCGCGUGAGUGAUGAAGGCCUUAGGGUUGUAAAGCUCUUUUACCAGGGAUGAUAAUGACAGUACCUGGAGAAUAAGCUCCGGCUAACUCCGUGCCAGCAGCCGCGGUAAUACGGAGGGAGCUAGCGUUGUUCGGAAUCACUGGGCGUAAAGCGCGCGUAGGCGGCUGUUUAAGUCAGAGGUGAAAGCCCGGGGCUCAACCCCGGAACUGCCUUUGAAACUAGACAGCUAGAAUCCUGGAGAGGUGAGUGGAAUUCCGAGUGUAGAGGUGAAAUUCGUAGAUAUUCGGAAGAACACCAGUGGCGAAGGCGACUCACUGGACAGGUAUUGACGCUGAGGUGCGAAAGCGUGGGGAGCAAACAGGAUUAGAUACCCCCGUAGUCC